UUAGUUAUUUUCUUUAAACCCAAAGAAUUUGGCGGUGUUUUAUUCCAUUCAGAGGAACUUGUCCUAUAAUCGAUAGUCCUCGUUUUAUCUUGCUUUAAUUUAAUUAGUAUGUAUACCGCCGUUAUAAGUUUAUUUUUUUAGAUUUUAUUUACUAUUAAUUUUAUUAAAUUUUAUUUCAGGUCAAGGUGCAGCUUAUAAUUAAGUGGUGAUGAGUUACAAUAUUAUUUCAAUAAAUGGAUUCUUCUUUGAAAUUUUUGAUGAAAGUGGAUUUGAUAGUAAUUAUUUUCAUAAAGUUAUUUUGAUUUUGGCUCUAGAACAAGUACACAUCGCCCGUCGCU
rnacentral:rRNA from 1 species